UACGGAGGGUGCAAGCGUUAUCCGGAUUCACUGGGUUUAAAGGGUGCGUAGGUGGGCAAGUAAGUCAGUGGUGAAAUCUCCGGGCUUAACCCGGAAACUGCCAUUGAUACUAUUUGUCUUGAAUACUGUGGAGGUCAGCGGAAUAUGUCAUGUAGCGGUGAAAUGCUUAGAUAUGACAUAGAACACCGAUUGCGAAGGCAGCUUACUACAGGGACAUUGACACUGAGGCGCGAAAGCGUGGGGAUCAAACAGG
rnacentral:rRNA from 1 species